UACAGAGGGUGCGAGCGUUAAUCGGAAUUACUGGGCGUAAAGCGCGCGUAGGCGGCUUUUCAAGUCGAUUGUGAAAUCCCCGGGCUUAACCUGGGAACUGCAGUCGAGACUGUCUAGCUAGAGUAUGGGAGAGGGAAGUGGAAUUUCAGGUGUAGCGGUGAAAUGCGUAGAUAUCUGAAGGAACAUCAGUGGCGAAAGCGACUUCCUGGACCAAUACUGACGCUGAGGAGCGAAAGCAUGGGGAGCGAACAGG
rnacentral:rRNA from 1 species